CGAGUAACACGGCGUACGAUCUAACCGUGAACGAUCACCGGAAGAUUUGGGAAUGUAAACAACGAAGAGUUCAGACAUCGAAAGACCGUAUUUCUUCAGCUUGUUUGGAUGAUUUAACCGAUUCUUACUUGUGUAAAAGUGUUUUAACAUGUUUUCUGUUAAAUAUGCUCUGUUUGUUUGGAUAAUUCCACAGGAACCGUCAACAGCGGACUUGAAUAGAUGAUGUGCGAGUUCAUUGAUGGAUUUGCCUGCACUCAUGUGUCAUCAUGCGUCAUCACAGUAUAAAGGAUUUUAAUCUAAAAAGAAACCCUGCAGAUUUGCAGCUGUGCAGAAUGCACUUCAUGCCAUAUGCUGUUAGAGUAAAUGAUGAAAGAUGUUCAAACCAGUGUCAAAGAUUCCUAAGACUGAAAUCAUGGUGCUUUUAUUAAGGAGAUCAGUGUAUGUUUUCUGUGCAUUGUUGACAUUUGUGGAACUGUUCAGUUUAUGACCAUCUCUCUGACAAUAACUAUGACAUUUGAAUUUCAAUUUGAGCGUCGAAUAAAAAAGUCAAAUUAAAUGCAUGUAAAACAUUAUACUACGGUAAUAAAAACAUUGAUAAACUUAAAUUUAAACAAAGUUCAUGUACAUGUACAUGUAUCUGUGAUCUUUGAAUUAAAAUCCAUAAAUGCUGUACAUGGAUACUUUUAAUGACUUUGUCUCAUGGUAAUGGAAUAUUCAAUUGUUAAACAUUGUUGAGGAAUCACCUUGAAUAAAAAUAUU